rnacentral:rRNA from 1 species
UACUCCUACGGGAGGCAGCAGUGAGGAAUAUUGGUCAAUGGGCGAGAGCCUGAACCAGCCAAGUCGCGUGAAGGAAGAAGGUCUUAUGGAUUGUAAACUUCUUUAGCAGGGGAAUAAAGGUUAUUACGAGCUAAUAAUUGCAG